AGCGCUUCUCGGCCUUUUGGUUGUGAUCAGGCGUGCUCUCUGUUCUUACCAGUUUAAUGUCCGAUACGUCCUCGAUCUGAGGACAGUAUAUUAGAUGGAUUGUUGGAGCCAGGAGAUGGGAUAGGAGCUUGCUCUGUCCACUUCAUACAUCGACCUGAUAUCGCAGUGCUUCUGGGAAUGGUGCACAAGAA